GAAAUAUCCUAAUCAGCAUCUGUGUGAGGAAUCCUCACUCACCCGAUUCCAGAAAGAACACUUGAAAAUCUCAGUUAAAAAAAGGGAAGCCCCAGCGAGACAACACUGGAUGGAUGGAUUACCAUUCAGAUCAAUAUAGAAAAGGAUUAUUCUGGAUGACAGUACAUUAAGCAGUAGAAAGAGCACCAAAGGCCAUUAUCAUGAAGCUGGGAAAAAGUUCUGAGCCUGCUAAAUAAGGCCACAGGCCAGAAACAGCACCUCUUUCACUGGGAGAAAAUAGAAGGUCAGAAGGAGCCAAGGCCAGAGGGGAAAAUCAUCUGUCCCUCAGACUCUGCUUCUCAAUCUGCCCUUGCUUCGGGAUCAAGUAAAAGAUGAAGCCAUCCAUCAUCUUUCCCCUAAAAACAUGCCACAUGACAAGAUGUUUAAUUGCUUUUUGUUUUCCAGGCAAGGCUCCUCUUUUCUUCUGGCGGCUUUUCUUGUGGUCACUUUGGCACUCGGGAGCACCUGUGCCAGCCACUGUCCUUGUCUGGUCAGACCUCCGUGUGCCCAGGACGUUGCCAGCCCUGCCUCCUUCUGGAAGUGCUCUCCUCAGCUACCCUGCACUCCUCCUCCCUAAGAUAUUCUCCCUCCCUGGCGAGGGCUCCCUCCCAGCUUCCCUGUGUUGUGUCCUCCCCCGUGCUCCCUCAGGGUGGCCAGUCGCCAAGGUUCCACUCUCAGCCUUCUUCUAUUCCUUCCUAAAUCCAGCCUGUGCUUGUCAACGUUUCCCCGCAGCCCUGGAGAAGGAAGCCUUCUAAAAUGUUCAUCUGACCCCAUCUUCCCCUUGUUUAAAACUCUUCAACAACUCCCCAAAGCUAUCAGGAUAACACUGAGUCACGUUUCCUUUGUUUCCCAUUUCUCCAGUGUGUAAACUAAUCAUUGUACUCACACAACUUAGCCUUGCUUCUUAUUUCCUAGAGGGUAAAACCUAAACUAGUUUUUGGUAUGGAGGAGUCUCCAGGAUCUGAACUCCUGCUUAUUUCUCUAACCACACCUCCAGCUAUACUCCACCUUUACCUCCUCUUCCAGCUAUAUGUAAAUAUUCCAAGUUCCCUAGACUCAGCAUGAAACAGAAAUUGCUCCCUAAAUCACCAUAGCCACCCUAAACUCCCACCGUCAGCCUUUAGAGUGGUCCCAGAGUUCUUCACUUCUCCACCCUUCCAAGGAGCUUUAAUUUCCCCUCUUUUAUUGGCUGUUCUUUCUCAAGAGGAACACAGUCAGUAUCCAGAACAAUCCCACAAACAAGGGGUUAAAUAAAUAUGUGUUGGGCCAAUCUCCAUGAAUGGGUAAAUCUCUUACUAUGACUCCUCUUCAUUCUUUGGGUGAGGCCCACUUUCUAGGGACUCCCCCGUAGUACUGCUCACAAUGGGGCUUCUCCCUCUUUCCAGUGGGACUAGACAGAGAGAACCUUGUUUCUUUAUGGUUCUGGUCUAGAGAGCUGCAGAUGUGCCCAGAGAGCCUUGGGGUGCUGCUGCGGGACAGCAUCGGGGACAGUGAUGACAGGCAGCAUGCUGGGGGCCACCUGCCGUGACGUGGAGACAUCAAGCACACGUUCAGGUUCUCCAGGGGUACUGGGGUUACAGCAUCUUGGGGGACUCCCAAAAACACAAGCCAGGCCAGAGAAACCAUAGAGAAGACCUUUAGGUUUUUAUCCACACAUAAACUACUCAACUUGAAAUUAUCCAAAUAAAUAGAUGGAUUCGAGAAAUGUAUAAGUCAACCCAAGUUAUGAUCACCUGACAAGAGAAUGUCUCAUAUUUAAAAACAGCAGUUUGCAGAGGACUUUUCCGUGCUCAUCAACAUAAUAGGGCGAUUUGGUUUGGCUCUGUGUCCCCACCCAAAUCUCAUCUGGAAUUGUAAUCCCCAUAACCCCUACGUGUCGAGGGAGGGAACUCGUGGGUGGUGAUGGGAUCAUGGGGGCAGUUUGCCCCAUGCUAUUCUCGUGAUAGUGAGUGAGUUCUCAUGAGAUCUAAUGGUUUUGUGAGUGUUUGACAGUUCUUCCUUCACAUGCUUGCUCUUUCUCACCUGCCGCCAUGUAAGACACGCCUGCUUCCUUUUCUGCCAUGAUUGUAAGUUUCCUGAGACCUACCCAGCCAUACAGAACUGUAAGUCAAUU
rnacentral:lncRNA from 10 species